ensembl:lncRNA novel transcript
UAAAGUUUUCUUUCAUUUAAAAGAUCAUUCACAAAGAUUGUAUCCAUAGAUUUACUUUCAGUCAUAUAGCUAAAGUAUUUGGAAUUCCAUUCUUACAUUUAAAAGGCAACUGGAUUGCCUAGAAGUUUAGAUGAAUUCUUUUUGUUCUUUACUUUUUCCACAUUGAAGAUGUAAUUAGGUCAUCUGAAAACAUUAGGUUUGAUUAUAACUACAUAGUGCAUGUUAUUCUUAAGUAUUAGUAUAACAUUGCACAAAUGGUUCUUAUCUCCAAAGCAGAGAAGAUCACAGGUGGAAGGAAGGAAAGGAGAGAGAGUUCUGUAAAUUGCUGAGAACUUGUAACAUAAACAAUGUAAGAGAAGCCAAGGAUGACAGCCAGUGAUGAGCUAUUAUCUAAGCGCACCACACUGCACAAGCCAGGCUAGCCCUCAGCUCUGCAGUCAUCCUAGUGAGGGUCUGCUUUCCUUAGGUUUCUAGCUGCUAACUGACCCUAAACUGCUCCCAAUGGGACAGACUGCGACUCAAAUGCUUAGAAAUUUUUCAUUUGUUUACACACCGGUGUGUAAGCUCAAAAGCUAUUGCCUAACCUUCUACUCCUGGGUGAGUGCUAAAUGCUGUAGAUGAGAACAAUAAACUUUGUCCCAAAGAUGAGGCAGCAUACCUGAAAAUUUAUUGUCAUCUACAGUUAUUUUAAGGUUCUUGACAGCUCCACUUAGUAAAAAUUUCAAUUCAUCAAGUGAAAUAAAGUGUCAGAUUCUAGGCCCAUUUUCACUAUGAAUUAACAGGACAGUGGGAAGCACAGCAUCUCAUUAUGCUACUUAUACUAAAGAACAGAUGAACACAAGAGAGAUGAAAAGCACAAGGACAACAGAGAUUUGGGGGAGAAGCACUGUCAGCCUUAUAAAGUUAGCCCAGUGCAGCUCCAGCACCACC